CUGGUCUACAAAGUGAGUUCCAGGACAGCCAGAGCUAUAAAGAGAAACCCUGUCUUGAAAAACCAAAAAAAAAAAAAAAGAAAAAAAAAAGAAAAAAGAGAGAUCUCCCUUCCUAUUUAAGGCUGUUGCUUUGAGGGACUGACAUAUAAUAGCUCAGGGCUAGAGGUUAGCAGGUUGUUCCUAGAGCCUAGAGGGGAAGGUCUUGAUCUGGUCCAUUUCUGAGCUGGCUUUCGUUAUCAGAUUUUAAUAUCUAAAUCUUGACUCUGGCAGUCCCAACAAGCUAGAGUUGGUCCUUUGGUGACAGUACACUACUUAAAGAGAUACUUAGCGGCUGGAAAGAUGGCUCAGCAGGGUUAAGAGCACUGACUGCUCUGGCCCAGAGGUCCUGAGUUCAAUUCCCAGCAACCACAUGGUGGCUCACAACCAUCUAUAAUGGGAUCCGAUGCCCUCUUCUGGUGUGUCUGAAGACAGAUAUAGUGUACUCAUAUAAAUACAAUAAAUCUUAAAAAAAAAAGAAAGGAAGAAAGAAAAAGAAAUACUUAGCGACCAAAGGCAGAGAAAGGAUAUUUGUCCAGUGUGGUUACACUGUGAUGUUUAGAUGAAGGUGUCCAAGGACCCCAUGUCCAUCCUUUUAGGUUUAAAGAGAGGGCAAGAGGCAUGAGGACUAAGCAGUCCUCUUGACUGGCCCACCGUUGCCCAUCACCGUCUCAGUUCAUGUCUGCCUUACAAGGUGGUUCAAUAAAUACAGUUGCUAAUCCACCAGCUGCAGAGCAAGCGAGAGAGAGAGAGAGAGAGAGAGAGAGAGAGAGAGAGAGAGCAAGAGCGCACUCGAGAGAGAGAGAGAGCCUUACCCAUGGAUAGUUCUCAUCUGGGGAUGUGAGGGUUCUAGGUGUCCCCUGAGUUGUGUGCUGGGUGUCUCAAAGAAAGGUUAAGGAGCGCCUCUCACUGAGGCUUCAAGCAAACCAGAAGGAACGCAGCCGAGAUGCCAGCUUUCAUCCCGGUUUUCAUUGCCUUUCCGAGUUGUCAUUGUGAUACUACGGGGUUUCUCAUCUCUGGGCCUCGUCCUCCUGUCUGUCUUCCUGGAAACUGGGAGGGUGGAGCUGGGGAGUCAUUUUGUUAGUUUGUUUUGGGAUGUGUGUGUGUUUUCAAGAUAGGAUCUCACCACGUAGCCCUGGCUGUCCUGAAACUCACUCUGUUGAUCAGGCUGACCUUGAACUCACAGAGAUCUAUCUGUCUCUGCCUCCCGAGUGCUGGGAUUAAAGCUGUGUGGUUACUGCCUGGCUAGGGGCUCAGGAAUCUGGCUUGGGAAAGGAUUCUCUCAAGGUUUGAGCAGAGUCAUCCCUCAGUGUGAGGGGCUGGGCUUGAAGGCUGGCACCAUGGCUAGCUCACCUUGCUGGGGACACCGACAAAGGUCAGCCGGUUGCCUUGGCCUCUUUGGGUUCUGGUUUAUUGGUGAGGGGAGCUGGUCUCUCUGGAGAUUACCCGAGUUUCUUUUCAUUUAAUUGAUGUAUUGCUUGUAUCCGUAUAGGUGUUUUGUCUGCAUGUAUGUCAGUGCUCCACAGGCAUGCUUGGUGCCUACGGAGGCCAGAAGAGGACAUCAGGUCCCCUGUGAGUUACAGAUAGCUGCGAGCUGCCACGUGGGUACUUAGAAUUGAACUCAGGUUCCCUGGAAGAACAGCCAAUGCUGUUGACUUGGUGUGCUGUGUUGGAUCUCUGGCUUCGAUCUCCUGGACUCAGGUGAGCCUCCUGUCCCAGCCUGUGGAGCAUCUGGGAUUAUCACUGCUUGCUGCCUGUAUACUCGGCAUGUAACCUGACCUUGGACAGACUUGGGCCAAGAAUAUCCAGGACUCUCAGUUUGAAUAUUACCAUGAUUCUAGAAUGUGUGUGUGUGUGUGUGUGUGUGUGUGUGUGUGUGUGCAGGCACAUGUGUGCACACGCUUCCGGAAACUGAACCCAGGGCCUUGUACAUGCUAGAAAUCCCCCCACCACUGAGUUAUACUCUCAGCCCUUUAAAAUAUCUUUAUUAUACUCAUUCUGUGCAUGCAUGCAUUUGGGGUGUAAGCUUUACAUUUUCAAAAUCUGCUUUUAAUAUGGGUUCUAAACACUUUAACCUCCCUUCUAGCCCACCACCCACCAGAGGUAGUGGGAAAGAAAGAUUAUUAGGAUAAAGAGGAAGUGGACUUGUUUAGAAAUGGUUCUUUGGAGUAAAUCCCAUCUGCAUUGUCAG
rnacentral:lncRNA from 1 species